UUUUUUGUAAGAAUAAAAAAGAAGAAAUUUCAACCAAUAAGAAUCCUUCAUUUUACUUCAUUUAAUUUUUGUAUUUAAUAUUAGUGUAAGGGUAUAUUGGUAAAGUUGGAUAGAUCAUUAAUUGGUAGUCUUCCUUUAUAAUAGCUAACUACAUUAAAUUUGUAACUUACAUUCAAAAAAAUAUAUUUUUUCAAAGAAGAAAAAAAUUAAUUUAAAGUAUGGGAUGAAUUAUGAGGUGUGUAGGAUGAAUUAUGAACUGUGAUAAAUUUUGAUGUGUGUAGGCAAAAAUUUUAGUGUGGAGGAUGAUACUCUUUAUGACUAAUUAAUUAGUCAAAGAUAGUAAUAAAUGAAAUGAGAGAAAAACUAUUUAAAGUUUUUACAAUUGUACCCUUUGUUCUUUUUCUUCUCAAUUUAAUUUUCUUCUCAAAUGAACCUCCCCCUAUAUAUAUAUAUAUAUAUAUAUAUACAUUUUAGAACUCCUAAUAAAUAAUCAUUUUGAUAUGUAUAUUUUUAUAGUUUUGAUACUUUUAUCAUUUAUUAUAUGUAUUUUUAUGAUUGCAUACAUAUUAAGAGUAGUUACAUAUCUGUAAUAGCCCAAUUAUAUAUAUGUAUAACAAUUAGU
rnacentral:lncRNA from 1 species